rnacentral:rRNA from 1 species
ACUGCUCAGUAACACGUAGUUAACCUAACCUAUGGAUGGGGAUAACCUCGGGAAACUGAGAAUAAUCCCCGAUAGAUCACAAUGCCUGGAAUGGUUUGUGAUUCAAGUGAUUUAUCGCCGUAGGAUGGGACUGCGGCCUAUUAGCUAGUUGGUGAGGUAAUGGCCCACCAAGGCUAUAACAGGUACGGGCUCUGAGAGGAGGGGCCCGGAGAUGGGUACUGAGACACGGACCCAGGCCCUAUGGGGCGCAGCAGGCGAGAAACCUUUGCAAUGUGCGAAAGCACGACAAGGUUAAUCCGAGUGUCUUCUGCUAAAGAAGUCUUUUGUUAGUCAUAGAACCACUGAUGAAUAAGGGGUGGGCAAGUUCUGGUGUCAGCCGCCGCGGUAAAACCAGCACCUCGAGUGGUCAGGAGGUUUAUUGGGCCUAAAGCAUCCGUAGCCGGUUGUUUAAGUUUUCGGUUAAAUCUAUGCGCUUAACGUAUAGGCUGCCGAAAAUACUGGACAGCUAGGGAGUGGGAGAGGUACACGGUACUCAAUAGGAAGGGGUAAAAUCCUUUGAUCUGUUGAUGACCACCUGUGGCGAAGGCGGUGUACCAGAACACGUUCAACGGUGAGGGAUGAAAGCUGGGGGAGCAAACCGGAUUAGAUACCCGGGUAGUCCCAGCUGUAAACGAUGCAAACUCGGUGAUGCAUUGGCUUGUGGCCAAUGCAGUGCCGCAGGGAAGCCGUUAAGUUUGCCGCCUGGGAAGUACGUACGCAAGUAUGAAACUUAAAGGAAUUGGCGGGGGAGCAC